GGGCGUGUGGCUCAGUUGGUAGAGCGUUCGCUUAGCAUACCUCUUCCCCCCCCCCCCCCCACCUCAUUACAGAGGACAAGUGGAUUCAAGGGGUUAUAACUAUAGUGUAUGCGAAAGGUCCUGGGUUCGAUUCCCAGCUCGUCCA